rfam:Myotis lucifugus cont2.38538, whole genome shotgun sequence.
GCACUUGCCUCGGCAACACAUAUACUAAAAUGGAAAUGUAACAAGGAAGAUAAGCAUGGCCCCUAUGCAAAGAUGAGAUGCAAAUUUGUGAACACCCUAUGUUCAU